UACGUAGGGUGCAAGCGUUAAUCGGAAUUACUGGGCGUAAAGCGUGCGCAGGCGGUUCGUUGUGUCGGUGGUGAAAUCCCCCGGGCUUAACCUGGGAACUGCGCUUGUAACUGGCAAGCUAGAGUGUGGCAGAGGGGGGGUGGAAUUCCACGUGUAGCAGUGAAAUGCGUAGAGAUGUGGAGGAACACCGAUGGCGAAGGCAGCCCCCUGGGCUAACACUGACGCUCAUGCACGAAAGCGUGGGGAGCAAACAGG
rnacentral:rRNA from 1 species